rnacentral:lncRNA from 1 species
CUGGCGUAUAUACAAAAUUUAGUCCUGGUAUCUAUGAUGAGUUUAUUUACAUAAUUAAACCCAAUUUCUAAAAGAAAAAUAUUAUUGUCUGAAAUAUUGUAAGCACAGUUAUAAUAAUAAAAGUCUAAGUCCACGUAAUCUUCUUUUUGUCAUCCAUUUCCACGUCUAAUUCUGUUGGGUUUUUUUUCUCGACCUCUAUUCUCUUUGAACUUCCUUCUCAAGUACUACAAAUUGCCUUGUCUGGGUGGCUGAUGUUAAAUGCACGACCUUCCUUUCCUCCUCUAUUUGUGUAAAUAUCUGUUGCAUCAUCUGUGUUGGCGUUCCAUUUUGUUUUUAAGUGCAGAAUGAUGGAUCUCAUAAUUAUCCAUGUGGUUGUCAGUUUAUACGAAGUGCCAUCAGGCAAAAUACAGGUUUGGUGGUUCCGUACAGCACUAUAUUCACUGGGCAAUACUGUAUUUGUCAGUCUUACUUGCCUUUUGAUAACUCAUAUUCAUAUUAUCUGGAGGUUGGGGCCCGAAAUAUGUCUCAGUUAAAAGAACAGCACAUUAUUUAUUCAUUUGUUAAAGUCAGUUUUUUACAAGAGCUAAUACUUUGAU